GAAGGCACCAAGGGAUCCACAGAUUUGAACAAGGGAUCCACAGAUUUGCUGGAGAAUGGCCGGAAUCAGGUGACUGUCUGUCCAUGAAUCUCUCUGGAAUCAUGUUUCAGAUGAAGGAGUCUUUGCAAGGAGAGGGUAUAAUAUCGAGUCACUUGCUGUUGGUCAAAGUUGUAUCACAACAGAGACGAGUUCAUCCACCGAAUAUGUAUUUUUUGUAUUCAUAUCUGUCGUGUGGCCAACAGGGUUCUACUAUUGCUGGCUAUGUCAUCUAGAAAUGAACCUGCUAUGUCAUCUAGAAAUGAACCUGCUAUGUCAGCGAAGAUUCUUAAUAAAGCUGGUUGGAUGUUAUCGGACCAGACUGGUAGAGUAAAGAGCUUUAAACUAAGGGCUGGUCGAAUUUGUGUGCAUGUUGGCAUGCUUUUAGCAACCUGUGGAGAGGAUUUAGGACUGUGUUGGCUUGUUCGGGUCUUGGUGAAAGCUUGGUCAACA